AUGCCAAGUAAAAAUGAAGUGGGUGGAGGGAAAAAAGCAUAAUAAAUAAUGAAAGAUGUUUAUAACAUUAAAUAAUGAAAGAUGAAUAAUGAAUCAGAGUCCUUAGGUAAUCAAAAUACUUAAGCCGUAAAGAUAUCAAAAAGAAAUAAGCUCUGUCCAUAUCUCAGGACUAUGUAUCUCACAGUUAUAUUGCUAUGAAGAAAGAGUGUUCUGUACAAGUAUCUGUGCAGAAUUGCUACAAUCUCAGUGUAUGCUAUGGUCCAAUAUUGUCUCCUAGAGUCAAAAAUUAAUUAUGAGUUAAUAUUUUCAGAGUGUUGUUGUGGGUUAGAAGGCUUAGUUAAAUAAUAGCUGGACUCCAGUGUAUUUCUUACAUUGCUUUCAUCUCAUCUUUCACCUCUCUUUUCUUCCCCGAGGCUAAUGCAUGGAAUAUUAAAAAUACAACAAGUCUCAAAUUCAGAGGAGUCUAUCUUUGCUAAUACUGUAGCAGGCAAAUAUAUGGGGCAAAUAAACUGGACCAUCAGCUUAGUAUUUAACUCAGAAAAUCUACUUUCCUAGAUACUAAUUUUCACCCAAAAGCUUUGUGAGCCUGCAGCAAUAUUAAAAAAUGCAUUUUUUCCAAUCUACUUGAAUUGAAAUUCUUUGGUUUUGUCAUAUAGCAGCAGUUAUCAAGUCCUUAUCUCCUGAAUCACGUUAAUUUUGCUUACAAUAGAGUCACCUUCUUCUGCUCGGUUUUGGCAAGUAUUUACGUGAGCCACAAAUUUGAGUCCGAUAAGUCUCACAGUGAAGAGCUACGUGCACUUUUCCCUCCAAAUUAGAUGCCGGGCAAGUUCCAUCCAGACAAUUACCGUGUUCGUUUUGGUCAGUAAGUCCUGGGUUUUAGUUAUACUAGGCACUUUUAUCUCAGUGCGAUACCAUAUCAUCUGUGAUUGGCAGCAUUACAACCAUGUAGCGAGGGCUGCAGAGCUCUUCCUUAAAGCAUGAACGGCCUUUACCCAGCCUGCCGCAGACGUACUGGCUUCUCGGCUGCUCCCAGCCCUUCUGAAUGCCUCUCGUGAAGGUGACUCCAUUUGUGAGAACGGGAGGGUCGUCUGCAGUGAAGGUUUCUGGGAGGACCCUUCUCUAAAUGGGUCACAGACACUUCUGACAGGGGCUCAGAGACUCAGGGAGCUGACGGCUGGCGUGGGAGGAAAGGUGAACUCUUCUAGGGCAAUAGUUAGAGCGCGUUUAUGUUCCUGCAGCCACGUCACAGUGUCCGAGAGCUCACUCUAGCAGACAGAGAGACAGCAUUGAACUUCAUAGCAGGGAAGCAGCACGGGGACCUUUAAACCAGGCUGGCAGUUUGUGGAGCUGAUAAAAUGGCACAGGCGCCUUCUACCUGCCUGCUUUCACCACCGAGUCCUAUGAUAAACUGUGUUCACUCACCUCCUCAUAAAGAUGCUAUGCUGUUACACUGCAGGACAACACAUUUCAAAGGGGACAUUAAACCUUGUUCUUCAGGGACUAGACAGUCUCUGAAUAGCUCUGGUUGCUCCUG